rnacentral:rRNA from 1 species
CAGCACCUCAAGUGGUCAGGAUGAUUAUUGGGCCUAAAGCAUCCGUAGCCGGCGCUGUAAGUUUUCGGUUAAAUCUGUACGCUCAACGUACAGGCUGCCGGGAAUACUGCAGCGCUAGGGAGUGGGAGAGGUAGACGGUACUCGGUAGGAAGGGGUAAAAUCCUUUGAUCUAUUGAUGACCACCUGUGGCGAAGGCGGUCUACCAGAACACGUCCGACGGUGAGGGAUGAAAGCUGGGGGAGCAAACUGGAUUAGAUACCCGAGUAGUCC